UCGGGAAUAUUGCGCAAUGGAGGAAACUCUGACGCAGUGACGCCGCGUAUAGGAAGAAGGUUUUCGGAUUGUAAACUAUUGUCGAUGGGGAAGAUACAAGACUGUACCCAUCAAGAAAGCUCCGGCUAACUACGUGCCAGCAGCCGCGGUAAUACGUAGGGAGCAAGCGUUAUCCGGAAUUAUUGGGUGUAAAGGGUGCGUAGACGGGAAAUUAAGUUAGUUGUGAAAUCCCUCGGCUCAACUGAGGAACUGCAACUAAACUGAUUUUCUUGAGUGCAGGAGAGGAAAGUGGAAUUCCUAGUGUAGCGGUGAAAUGCGUAGAUAUUAGGAGGAACACCAGUGGCGAAGGCGACUUUCUGGACUGUAACUGACGUUGAGGCACGAAAGUGUGGGGAGCAAACAGGAUUA
rnacentral:rRNA from 1 species